AUGAGAGGGGAAGAAAUGGGCUACAUUCGCUAACAUAGCGAAUACGAACGAUGCACUGAAAACGUUCAUCUGAAGGAGGAUUUAGCAGUAAGUGGAAAAUAGAGUGUUCCACUGAAAUCGGCUCUGAAGUGCGUACACACCGCCCGUCACUCUCCCCAAGCUUACCAAUUUAUAUAUCUAAAACGCUUUAACUGCGAAGGGGAGGCAAGUCGUAACAUGGUAAGUGUACCGGAAGGUGCACUUGGAAAAAU
rnacentral:rRNA from 1 species